rnacentral:rRNA from 1 species
UACGGGGGGGGCAAGCGUUGUUCGGAAUUACUGGGCGUAAAGGGCUCGUAGGCGGCCAACUAAGUCAGACGUGAAAUCCCUCGGCUUAACCGGGGAACUGCGUCUGAUACUGGAUGGCUUGAAUCCGGGAGAGGGAUGCGGAAUUCCAGGUGUAGCGGUGAAAUGCGUAGAUAUCGAGAGGAACACCUGCGGCGAAGGCGGGUAGCUGGGUCGACACUGACGCUGAGGCGCGAAAGCCAGGGGAGCGAACGGG